rnacentral:rRNA from 1 species
UACGAAGGGGGCUAGCGUUGUUCGGAAUCACUGGGCGUAAAGGGCGCGUAGGCGGCCGAUCAAGUCGGAGGUGAAAGCCUGUGGCUCAACCACAGAAUUGCCUUCGAUACUGUUUGGCUUGAGACCGGAAGAGGUAAGUGGAACUGCGAGUGUAGAGGUGAAAUUCGUAGAUAUUCGCAAGAACACCAGUGGCGAAGGCGGCUUACUGGUCCGGUUCUGACGCUGAGGCGCGAAAGCGUGGGGAGCAAACAGG